rnacentral:rRNA from 1 species
GCAGCGACGCUUAUGCGUUGUUGGGUAGGGGAGCGUUCUGUAAGCCUGCGAAGGUGUGCUGUGAGGCAUGCUGGAGGUAUCAGAAGUGCGAAUGCUGACAUAAGUAACGAUAAAGCGGGUGAAAAGCCCGCUCGCCGGAAGACCAAGGGUUCCUGUCCAACGUUAAUCGGGGCAGGGUGAGUCGACCCCUAAGGCGAGGCCGAAAGGCGUAGUCGAUGGGAAACAGGUUAAUAUUCCUGUACUUGGUGUUACUGCGAAGGGGGGACGGAGAAGGCUAUGUUGGCCGGGCGACGGUUGUCCCGGUUUAAGCGUGUAGGCUGGUUUUCCAGGCAAAUCCGGAAAAUCAAGGCUGAGGCGUGAUGACGAGGCACUACGGUGCUGAAGCAACAAAUGCCCUGCUUCCAGGAAAAGCCUCUAAGCAUCAGGUAACAUCAAAUCGUACCCCAAACCGACACAGGUGGUCAGGUAGAGAAUACCAAGGCGCUUGAGAGAACUCGGGUGAAGGAACUAGGCAAAAUGGUGCCGUAACUUCGGGAGAAGGCACGCUGAUAUGUAGGUGAAGUCCCUCGCGGAUGGAGCUGAAAUCAGUCGAAGAUACCAGCUGGCUGCAACUGUUUAUUAAAAACACAGCACUGUGCAAACACGAAAGUGGACGUAUACGGUGUGACGCCUGCCCGGUGCCGGAAGGUUAAUUGAUGGGGUUAGCGCAAGCGAAGCUCUUGAUCGAAGCCCCGGUAAACGGCGGCCGUAACUAUAACGGUCCUAAGGUAGCGAAAUUCCUUGUCGGGUAAGUUCCGACCUGCACGAAUGGCGUAAUGAUGGCCAGGCUGUCUCCACCCGAGACUCAGUGAAAUUGAACUCGCUGUGAAGAUGCAGUGUACCCGCGGCAAGACGGAAAGACCCCGUGAACCUUUACUAUAGCUUGACACUGAACAUUGAGCCUUGAUGUGUAGGAUAGGUGGGAGGCUUUGAAGUGUGGACGCCAGUCUGCAUGGAGCCGACCUUGAAAUACCACCCUUUAAUGUUUGAUGUUCUAACGUGGACCCGUAAUCCGGGUUGCGGACAGUGUCUGGUGGGUAGUUUGACUGGGGCGGUCUCCUCCUAAAGAGUAACGGAGGAGCACGAAGGUUGGCUAAUCCUGGUCGGACAUCAGGAGGUUAGUGCAAUGGCAUAAGCCAGCUUGACUGCGAGCGUGACGGCGCGAGCAGGUGCGAAAGCAGGUCAUAGUGAUCCGGUGGUUCUGAAUGGAAGGGCCAUCGCUCAACGGAUAAAAGGUACUCCGGGGAUAACAGGCUGAUACCGCCCAAGAGUUCAUAUCGACGGCGGUGUUUGGCACCUCGAUGUCGGCUCAUCACAUCCUGGGGCUGAAGUAGGUCCCAAGGGUAUGGCUGUUCGCCAUUUAAAGUGGUACGCGAGCUGGGUUUAGAACGUCGUGAGACAGUUCGGUCCCUAUCUGCCGUGGGCGCUGGAGAAUUGAGGGGGGCUGCUCCUAGUACGAGAGGACCGGAGUGGACGCAUCACUGGUGUUCGGGUUGUCAUGCCAAUGGCACUGCCCGGUAGCUAAAUGCGGAAGAGAUAAGUGCUGAAAGCAUCUAAGCACGAAACUUGCCCCGAGAUGAGUUCUCCCUGACUCCUUGAGAGUCCUGAAGGAACGUUGAAGACGACGACGUUGAUAGGCCGGGUGUGUAAGCGCAGCGAUGCGUUGAGCUAACCGGUACUAAUGAACCGUGAG